rnacentral:rRNA from 1 species
UACGUAGGGCGCAAGCGUUGUCCGGAAUUAUUGGGCGUAAAGAGCUCGUAGGCGGUUUGUCGCGUCUGCCGUGAAAGUCCGGGGCUCAACUCCGGAUCUGCGGUGGGUACGGGCAGACUAGAGUGAUGUAGGGGGAGACUGGAAUUCCUGGUGUAGCGGUGAAAUGCGCAGAUAUCAGGAGGAACACCGGUGGCGAAGGCGGGUCUCUGGGUAGUAACUGACGCUGAGGAACGAAAGCGUGGGUAGCGAACAGG